rnacentral:rRNA from 1 species
UUAGGCGGACGGGUGAGUAACGCGUGGGUAACCUGCCUUGUACUGGGGGACAACAGUUGGAAACGACUGCUAAUACCGCAUAAGCGCACAGCUUCGCAUGAAGCAGUGUGAAAAACUCCGGUGGUAUGAGAUGGACCCGCGUCUGAUUAGGUAGUUGGUGGGGUAACGGCCUACCAAGCCGACGAUCAGUAGCCGACCUGAGAGGGUGACCGGCCACAUUGGGACUGAGACACGGCCCAA